rnacentral:rRNA from 1 species
GAUCCUGGCUCAGAACGAACGCUGGCGGCAUGCCUAAUACAUGCAAGUCGAACGAGAUCUUCGGAUCUAGUGGCGCACGGGUGCGUAACGCGUGGGAAUCUGCCCUUGGGUUCGGAAUAACGUCCCSAAACUGACGCUAAUACCGGAUGAUGACGUAAGUCCAAAGAUUUAUCGCCCAGGGAUGAGCCCGCGUAGGAUUAGCUAGUUGGUGGGGUAAAGGCCUACCAAGGCGACGAUCCUUAGCUGGUCUGAGAGGAUGAUCAGCCACACUGGGACUGAGACACGGCCCAGACUCCUACGGGAGGCAGCAGUAGGGAAUAUUGGACAAUGGGGGCAACCCUGAUCCAGCAAUGCCGCGUGAGUGAUGAAGGCCUUAGGGUUGUAAAGCUCUUUUACCCGGGAUGAUAAUGACAGUACCGGGAGAAUAAGCCCCGGCUAACUCCGUGCCAGCAGCCGCGGUAAUACGGAGGGGGCUAGCGUUGUUCGGAAUUACUGGGCGUAAAGCGCACGUAGGCGGCGAUUUAAGUCAGAGGUGAAAGCCCGGGGCUCAACCCCGGAACUGCCUUUGAGACUGGAUUGCUUGAAUCCGGGAGAGGUGAGUGGAAUUCCGAGUGUAGAGGUGAAAUUCGUAGAUAUUCGGAAGAACACCAGUGGCGAAGGCGGCUCACUGGACCGGCAUUGACGCUGAGGUGCGAAAGCGUGGGGGAGCAAACAGGAUUAGAUACCCUG